UACGGGAGGCAGCAGUGGGGAAUAUUGCACAAUGGGCGCAAGCCUGAUGCAGCCAUGCCGCGUGUAUGAAAAAGGCCUUCGGGUUGUAAAGUACUUUCAGUCGUGAGGAAGGUGUUAAGGUUAAUAACCUUAGCAAUUGACGUUAGCGACAGAAGAAGCACCGGCUAACUCCGUGCCAGCAGCCGCGGUAAUACGGAGGGUGCGAGCGUUAAUCGGAAUUACUGGGCGUAAAGGGCACGCAGGCGGUUAAUUAAGUUGGAUGUGAAAUCCCCGGGCUUAACCUGGGAAUGGCAUUCAAGACUGGUUAGCUAGAGUCUUGUAGAGGGGGUAGAAUUCCAUGUGUAGCGGUGAAAUGCGUAGAGAUGUGGAGGAAUACCGGUGGCGAAGGCGGCCCCUGGACAAAGACUGACGCUCGAUGUGCGAAAGCGUGGGGAGCGAAACAGGGAUUAGAUA
rnacentral:rRNA from 1 species